rnacentral:lncRNA from 1 species
GUAGGGUAAGUGGGAGUUAGCCAACUGACCAUAAGACAAAAAAAGGGAGGAAGAGAAGGAGGAGGGGAUGAUAGUCUCAAGCAGCCUGAAGAGAGCUAAGGGUGGGGUGGAAGGCAAGAAUUAGGACAGCAGACAAACAGGAUGCAUUAAAAGAACUACAAGGAACUGGGCAUGGAUGGAGCAUAGAAUGCAUUUGGGAAGGAGAAGCUGUAGAAUUAGGCAAAGGCCCUAGAAGCAAGGUUUUUAAAGCCAUGGUGGGUGAGAGCUUGAACUUUAAGAGCAGGAGUAUUUUAAGCAGUGGGAGUUUCCACUGUAGCGUUUUAAGCAGUGGGAGUGACAUAUUUGUGCUUGCAUUUAAGAAAAUCCUUUUAGGAAGUGUAACAAAGAGAAGCUGAUUCAGGUGGGCCUAACAGACAUUUGCAACUGAGACCCUGGUGUUUACAAGAAGGAGACAAUAUAAGCAGAGUUCCUCUUUGCGGAUUGAUAUUGAAUGCAGCCUAUUCACAUCUGGGUGUGAUAACUCUAUAAAAUUGCUGCCUAAUUUGGCCUUUCUUAUGACCACAUUCAUUGCAGGAGAUGUGAAGACAGUGAGAACUAGAGACAUGGGCUCAGCGCAAUGAGGCAGCAAUGUGUGGGGACUUCCUAAAAACAAGCCAAUGGCUGGGCCCACUGACUUCAGCAGUGGAUGUCUGCAUGAUGCUCCCAUAGGGCCAGGAGUGACCAGCCACAUGUCAAUGGAUGUCAUCACAAAUGCCCAGGGGCUAAACCUGACUUCACAACUUCAAAGACCCAGCUACGAGGAGAUGCAUAGAAGCCUACAGGAUUGGAACAAACAUUCUUGAGAUCCAGCUGUGUGACAGGUCAUGUACUAGAUCCUUUCCUUGUAAGAACCUGUCAAAAAGGAAUUAUUACACCCAUUUUCAAUAUGGAAGACUUGGGCUCAGUGAAGAUCUUCAUAAAUUGUCUAGUAUUCCCUGAUAUCCUAUUAAAUGGUAAUUUUAACAUCAAUGAAUCCUGAUUUAAACAUGAUUUGGAUUCCAAAGGCCAUGCUAUUUCUAAUGCCCCAUUUUGUCUAUACAAUAAAAUAUGGGUUG